CGUCGUCGUCGUCGUAUCCUGUUUCAAAAACAGUGGCACGUUUCUUAACCGCUAAGCCUAUGAACUUGUAACUUUGUACACAGGACUCCCUUGGUCAGAUGACCUGUGACACUAAAUUUCGGUCCGAUCUGAUUCUUAAUUUGGCCACCAGGGGGCCGAAUGUAGAUAUCUAAAAAGUGUGAUAUCUCGCUUAUUAAUAACUUGUUUGGAAUGAAAUUUUUGUGGUAGGUACUCAUAGCAAGGGUACAUCAUAUAUCAUACGGGUUUUUAAUUUGACCUACUUUUCAAGGUCACAGAGGUCAAAUGGCGUAAAUUGGCUGUUUCAGUGUAACUAUGGCACGUUUUUCAACCUCCACAGCUAUGAACUUGAAACUUAGUACAUAUAACCCCCUAUACCAGAUAACCUCUGGUGCUGAAUUUCGGUCUGAUCUGAUUCUCAACUUGGCCACCAGGGGGCCGAAUGUGGAUACCUAAAAAGUGUGAUAAUUCGCUUAUCAAUAACUUGUUUUCAAUAAAACUUUCGUGGUGGGUACUAAUAGCAAGGAUACAUCAUAUAUCGUACGGGUUUUUAAUUUGACCUACUUUUCAAGGUUGCAGAGGUCAAAUGGCAUAAAUUGGCUGUUUCAGUGUAACUAUGGCACGUUUCUCAACCGCCACAGCUAUGAACUUGAAACUUGGUACAUAUAACCCCCUAUAUCAGAUAACGUCUUGUGCUGAAUAUCGGUCCGAUCUGAUUCUCAAUUUGGCCACCAGGGGGUCGAAUGUGGAUAUCUAAAAAGUGUGAUAUCUCGCUUGAUGACUUGUUUUCGAUAAAACUUUUGUGGUAGGUACUCAUAGCAAGGAUACAUCAUAUAUCAUAUGGGUUUUUAAUUUGACCUACUUGUCAAGGUCACAGAGGUCACAACGCAGACACAGAUAUGGCCGAAAUUGCAUGUUUCGUGUUUUUCGUGUUGUGGCAAUCCAAAGGUCGUGAGUUCAAACCCCGGUCAAGGACGGCCAAAAAUAUUUUUUUUAUUUUAUUAUUUUUUUUAUCUUUUCCCUUUUGUCUUUUCUGACUUGUAUCUUACAUUUUCUUGAUUUUUUAUUUAUUUGGUGCCAUAUCAUUAGGUGGCUAUCUUGGAAAUCAUUUUUUGUCAUUUUGUAGCCUAUUGUUGUCACUAGAGUGAUGAAAUUGUUGGUGGAUGUGUAUACAUAUCACCCUGGUUUAUCAUUUGACCUAUCAAUCAGGGAUCACUGAGGUCAAAGUUAAAAAUUCACCAUUGUCAUCAAGUGGCACGUUCUUCACUAUUAUUUUGACCUAGACUGUACAUGCAAGCUUGGUACCGCAAGUCUCGGAUUCACCACUUGGCCAGGGCCAGUUCUGAACAGAUCACAGAUGCAUGUGUGAAUAAGGAGAGGCCUACAUGAUCAUAGGAAAAAAGGCAGUUGUCUGAUUUGUCAUACCUUACAGAAAUAUUAGAACAGCUCAUAGAUCAUUCCAAAUUUAGGCCCCACAGGCCAAAGUGGCAGCUGCAAGUACCGCACGUCAAAUUAUGCUUAUGAUUAACCCACCACAAUCGGGUGGGAAACUUGUACCAUGUGACCAUUACUUCUUGGAUUUUAUUGAAAAUUAUUUCAAAGAUGCCACUAAAUUUGUGCACGAAAGGCGCCCUAUAAGUAUAGUUGGAGACCAUACAUAAAUAUGCUGUACUACUACUAUUGUUUCAAUUCAGUUAGGAGGAAAGGAUUUCUAUGUAGGGUCUGCUGUAUUUAGGUUCUACAUCACUGAAACUGAAAAAAAUACAUAUUUGAAAAAUAUCAGAGAAUAAUUUAUUCAGUAAAGGCGCUCCAUACAUUGACCACUUCCUGUUUCUCAUCUUGCAAGAGACUGCACAUGUGCUUGAUUUCAGGAUUUUCAAAGUGUUAUUAGUGCAUUAUUGGUUGUUGCUAUUUCUAUGAGUCAUUGAGUGUAUUGCUGAUGCAGAUCAAGCUUAUUUAGGGCUACUGCGAUUGACACACUUAAGCAAGGUUGUGUGCUAUUGACACCAAAGUGGUGGUGGGGUUGUUGGAGGUUUUGAUAAUCUAACGCAGAUUUGGCUUGCACUAGCCACGACGACCUUCCACUGCUGACAAUUGACCAAGUGUCCUUUGUACGCCUGCCCUCCGAGUGAUAUUGGCUGUGCCUGCCAUAUAACUCUGGCAUUGGUGUUUAUUGCCUCUCACCAAGACCCUCUCACAUUGGUGAGAACAUAGUUCAAGUGUCAGCGUACACUUGAACUUAAUCGCAGGUGUCAGCGUGCACCUGUGCCUGCCGGGUAACUCUGGCAUAAUUUUCCAUUGAUGAAUUUUCAUCUCGAGAAUUCUCAUUUGGAAAAUUUUGCGUAACGCUGCUGGCGCUUUCUCAAGUUGUCUGCCCUGCUUGAGACAGCGUGCAACUUUCCACAGGUUGCACAGUCCAGGCUCUCUCACGAGAACCCUAGCAGCACAGCAGGCUGCACGCCUGUUAUAUAAGCAUAAGCAAACGAAGAACAUAAGCAUAAGCAAACAAACAACCAGCAAAGCAAACUAUAUAAUCAGAAACAAAGAAAGCAAGCAAACCAGACCUACGAAGCAAAACCAAGUGAAGCGCUAUCAAAGUUAUGUGAAGAAGAAAAAGGUACUUCUCAAGAUUGACCAGCAGAACAGUCCAUUAAAGCCUGAAGGAAAAAGGUUGAUACUCAUUUCCCAUCGACUCCAUUUUAUAGGUGCAUCUUGUAGGACCAGCUACUCUUCAUCAUCGUUCCGACUAUUUUACUGUAUCCACCGUCAUUCUGUACUAUGUCUUUGUUAUAAUAUAAGUAUAUUUUUUCUUCAUAAAUAAACUCUUACUUGUAUAUUAUAGUAGACUUUGGUUCCUAUCUAUAGAUAGACAGAGACAUAGCUACAAAGGAACUGUUCCUGUAAUAUUGUUCAUCACCAAAAGUGCACAGCUAAUUGUGACAAUUUGGACAACCGGUCAAGACUCAAUAAAAUUCAUCGGAAGGUCGAGUGUAACCCUCUGAUUGUUCAGUUCUUCAAUAUAUUUACUACCCGUACUGAUAAUAUAUUUCCUACUUCUACCUGCAACAACGUGUUACUCCUGUUGAUAUUGAACCUAAGAUUGUGACGAUCAUAUUGGCCACAGAAAGGGUACGACAUUAUUGUCGCUGAUUAUGACUAUUGGGGAUAGACCGAUCAAGAGUGUGAAGUACAAUACUUCUGAAAGACAAGUACAUAUGAACUGAAUCAACUUCUUGAAAUAUUGCACUAUCGAAUUAUUUAGGGAAAAAAAGCGUGUCGCGCUUGUAGUAAGUUGUGUCAAUCGUAUUGUGUAAUUUAAUCCGUGGAAUAGAUAAAAGUAAGCAUGAUAUCUGUUGAACAAUACCGUUCAGCUGUGGGCUGUUUCUAUAGUAGAGCAACAUCCAGCAAACAUAAGGACAUUGGUCAGUGUGGAUGCACCAAAAUCUUCAUACCACACAGAGAUAACUCGAAAGGCUACAGUCUGUCUGAACUGUAUAGCUACAACAUUAGGUUUGACGAAAUUACCAAGAAAAACAAUGACCAGGUAGAAAAUGUAAGAGCGGCUGCCCAUUACUCCUCAUUACAAAGCACUUGUGAAUACUAUUUUUCAUGCUGCCUGCUGGAACAUCUACUUUUAUGUCGUUCAUAUAACUUCGAUAAAUUGAAAUUAAGUGGUGAUGUAGAAAGUAAUCCUGGACCAAUGGAUAAUCCACAAAUAAGUCGAGUUGUCCAAGGCCAUUUCCACCAAGGAGAUCACCACUUCU